AUUGAACGCUGGCGGCAGGCUUAACACAUGCAAGUCGAGCGGUAACAGGAGAAGCUUGCUUCUCGCUGACGAGCGGCGGACGGGUGAGUAAUACUUAGGAAUCUGCCCAGUAGUGGGGGAUAGCACGGGGAAACUCGUAUUAAUACCGCAUACACCCUACGGGGAAAAGGGGGCGCUUGCGCUCUCGCUAUUGGAUGAGCCUAAGUCGGAUUAGCUAGUUGGUGGGGUAAAGGCCUACCAAGGCGACGAUCUGUAGCUGGUCUGAGAGGAUGAUCAGCCACACCGGGACUGAGACACGGCCCGGACUCCUACGGGAGGCAGCAGUGGGGAAUAUUGGACAAUGGGGGCAACCCUGAUCCAGCCAUGCCGCGUGUGUGAAGAAGGCCUUUUGGUUGUAAAGCACUUUAAGCAGUGAAGAAGACUCUAUGGUUAAUACCCAUAGACGAUGACAUUAGCUGCAGAAUAAGCACCGGCUAACUCUGUG
rnacentral:rRNA from 1 species